GUCGAGUCCAUUCAGGUCUCCGAUUGCAAGUGGUUCCAGAGGGUUCUGAUUUCUUUUUUUCUCCUGACGUUCUGAUAAGAUUCGGUGUUAGGGCGACAGCUUAGCACUGACCGGUAGUUUUACAAAACCGAAUUUUGCUUUGGAAGGAUUUGUGCUGCGGAAGGGCAGAGCAGUCAGCUCAGUGACACGAAAACUCACCUCUGCGCACGGAGAGCUGCGGUGACGCCGUGGUGCUGGCUGGAUGCUUCCGGGGAGGUGGGCCAGCAGGAAAUCUGUUUCUGUGUGUUUAUGUGGACCUUCUAACCAGUGCUGCUUAGGAUAAAUACCUUGCAGAUUUGUACCCGUGCAAAGGAUUGCUGAGCUGCCAGACGUGGAUGAAAUGACUGAGUGGGGAAAAAACCUCUGCACAGAGGGCUGAGCUAUGAGAUCCUUGGAGCAUCCCAAACGCAUGCUAGGGUCCAGCACCGCAGCCGCGCUCCCUGCUGGUCCGGCUGACCCUGACCCUGGCGGGUGCCGUGGGAGGCACAGCUUUCCUCCCGUUGGGAAACACCAGCGCGUCGGGAAGGGUUUGGAGAGCUGCGAGGUGCUCAGCCACUGCUGUUCGCGGUCUCGCUCUGGUCUCUGCAAAACGGGAAGUGUUUGCCCUAUGUAAAUUCACUCCUGUAAUUUGUAAGAGGAGAUCGCUUCCUGUCCUAAGCUGUUAUGUGGUAUGGCUGCAAGCUGUCAGAUGCUGUAGCAAUGGAUCCCGGAGGCGGCUGCUUUCUAUUUGUGGUUGAAGUGAUGCUUUGUUAUAAUCCGUAUCUCAUGUGCAGCCCUUGGGGCGGGAGCGCCGUCUCGUCUUCGUGGGGGUACUCCGGCCUGGAAGCCGUGACCCGGGCCCUCCGCAUACAGAACAGCCCGAGAGCACCACUGGGGCUGGCAGCCCGCGCGCAGACCGCAGGGCCGCAGCGGG
ensembl:lncRNA